AUGAAAUUUUUUUAACUGAUUUUGUUCACAUGAUCAUAAUUAAGAUUUUGGGUUAAUCGAUUUUUGGAACAGAAGAAGAGUCAUUUUAGUUCGCUUUAUCGACCGCACUUCCGAUCUCAAUUUUCUUCGUAAUUUCACUCCUCGCAUUUUCGUUUAUUUUCACUGGAAUUAUUUCUGCCACGAAAACACUGUUCCAGUUUGUUUCUUAUGCAUAUCUGGUACAGUUACCGAAAUAAUUUCAUAAAUAUUUGGAGUUUAUCUUCGAAUUCUUAUACAAAAUCUUAUUAAAAUGACGAGAAUAACUAAAAAUAAUGUUCUUUCUUUUCGAAGUAGCUGAUUCCAAAGGGAGAGCCGAACAUCGCAGCGAUAUCGUCGUGUAAUAUUGAUUGCGACAAAGUCCUUGUCGGAAGAUUAAUUAUUUCAUUUUCAUUUAACUUCGCGACGAGCAAUUGAAUUUUCCCCAGGCAAAUCUUUUACUGAAAAUUACCACCGGCUCUGCAUUUCCAAUGUACAGAUAAUGAAAACGCAAAGUUACGUUGCUCCAUUCGUUUUUCGUAUCAUCAACGGAUUAAUUAUAAUAAUCUACGAUUCUCUCAAUUAUUUCCUCUCCCAUGGUUUUACGACGGUAGCGUAAAUAUCCUCCUACCCAUCGCAAUGAUAUUUUCUUCUUUAAACUAUCGCACUUCCAGUUUACAACUCGUAGUCGUAAAAAUUUUAGAGGCUGCGUUGGAAAUUAUUCGGUUAAUGUCAAAGGUUCGAAGUUCCAUCAAGAAGUUGGAACGUUCCUGCGAAGCUUUCCGUGAAAACGGAUUUAUUGAAAGAAAUAGAUCUCGGGAGUCCUUCGUGCGUUCGACAUUAAAUUAUUGUUAUCUGUUCUUCUGUGUCACCGCUCCCUUGCAUUCUAUUUUCAACUUUCGACACUCGCCACACCACGAUAAUAUUUCAAAUCCUUACUAAAAUUCAGCGAAAAUGUUUUUCGUUUCGUUUUCCUUUUGUUUGCGAGAUUAAAACGUCGGAGAUUAAUGUCAGAGCGUAUCCGGUAAUUGUUGUUUCAUUUUAAUGGAGAAAGUUCCGGAAAUUUAUUGCGUAUGAAAAUCUCGAGCGUGUUUCUUAUUGAGAUUUACACAGAAAGAAAAACUAAUUACAAAAUAAUGUUGCGGAUAUUGUAACGCUAGCAUAAACCAUGAUAUAUGGACCACUACGUAUUUAUCGCUUUCUACUGACCCCAGACAUUCUGGCGCUUCAAUAAACUACAUUUCGAGUGCUGAUUCAUUUAUUCUACUGCGCAUUUAUCCAUACGAGGUGUCUUACUUUUAUUAAUGUAAUUAAGAGGAGAUAUUUCUCGAACAUACGUUGAUUUGUCAUAAUAAUAAUUCGCGACAAUAAUGUUUGGACAUUCGCUAUAAAAAAUCUUUAUGAAUAUAUUGCCUGUAUUAUAGAAAGCUUUUGAAGAAUGAAACACGGUUAUCAUAACUAUAGUGAUAAAAUCUGAAACUAAUCUGGAAAUGUACGUAAAAAUUACGAGAGAUUUUUUGCGAGUGUACGUUUAAAAAAAAACUAGUACAUAGUAUAAAAUGAUUGUUUUAAACAUAUAAUUAAUUAGUGAUUGCAACGAAUAUUGAGACUUAUAUUUGCAAUAGGCAUGUUCUAUCGUCUUCGUACAUUUUCGAAUUUGUUUCAAACUUUUGAUCGUGACAGUCGCAUUAUGUGGCAUGUCCUGGAAAAUCUUUCGCAUAAUACGAUUCAGAAAAUGUUUCCAUGUAUUUUCAAAUACUUUCGUAAGCCACGGUAUUUCGAAGCAAUCAAAGGCAGACUAUAAGAGUACAAGAAAUAUCAUUAUGAAACAGUAUUAUUUGAACGUUUAUAUUUGAUAAACAGAAACAUUUAUGUAAAACCGAAUUAUUUGCCCGAUGAUGUUACACAGUUUAAAACUGCACGUCUGUCGAUGAAAAAUAUCGCGCUUUUAAAUAAGAUAUUGUUUGCAAUACGACUCGAUAUGUAAAAUGUUUGUACAUGUCGCACGUACCUGAUUGGAACGUGCGUGUUGAUCGGCGAUGUUGUGCCGUGAAUUUCCACGAAACAGAGAUUGAAACUUCACAGUGAGUACAGAGAGAAGAGCGGAAGGACUGCUAUAAAUACGGUCGAUUUGCAAACGUCACAGGAGUUGUAUACUCGUAUGCCGGAUGUGCGAUGUUUGUCAUGAAACGAAGAUAAGCACCGAGGAUAUACCUGUUCUAUUCCAUUCUAGAAAAGGAAAUGCUUGAUCUAGAUACUGUGAGAACUACCUCGCUUAUUAACUUAAGAGACGUAAUACAAAAAAUCAUGUCAAUGAUCUUCGUUCAGUAUCUACCUUGUACUUCAAAAUAUCUUCUAAUAUCGAAUAGAAAUUCGUACAAGAAGAAAAUUCCUACGAAGCUUUCCAACUAAUUGAAGGAACUUGUCAUAGAUAUAUCAGAUGUAUCGAAUUCUUUAAAUACUGACACACGUGAAAAUACGCUCGAAGGAACAAAGGAGGAUAAGUUCAUAUGACAAAAGAGUCCGUAUAUGCAAUUGAGACUAAAAAGUUACGUUUUCGUAUGGCCAGGCAUACGCAUUUUUUCUCCUGAAAAAUGUGUCCAAAUCGUGAUCUUCUAUCCAAAAAGCACGGAUAGAUCAUAAAACAGCAAUAAGGCACGAUAUCGCGAUGUUCUCACUUUUGCGUAGGUUAAAGAUCCUGUCAUUGGUGUCUGUCAACGGAACAACGCGUUCCACGUUAAUCAAAUCGGAUAUUGGAAUGGUAUUUUCAACGAGCGUAAAUGUAACCGGUUUCUUGGACGGGAAAAAAAGAAAUUGGAGCACAGGGUAUCGUUGGCACAGCAGUAAAGGUUGGCUCAAUGAUAUUUCAAGAUACGAAUCGUCGAAUGGAAAAUUGCUCGCGAUAAAUGGAGAAAGAAACAGGUAUAUGAGCAGUCGUGAAUAUCGCUGUGAAAUGAAGACGUACAUCGAGAGAAGAGGUUUCUUGCUCGACAGUGGAUCGUCGAUCUUUUCGCAGUUCCCUUUGGCGCCAAUUUACCACUCUUGGAAGUUCUCCAAGGAAUUUUGUCCUUCGGCGGAAUACCAUAGUUCAUCCAUGCAGAAGUUGUCGAAUUCGAUGUUAAAGUUCCAUUCUUUCACGGAAAAUCCAUCUUACCAGAAGUCUGCAUGUAAAAAUUUAUGGAGAUCGAGAGAUCUAUCCGAAGCAAUAUUUUGUUCCAUGAGCUUUCGUAACUAUUCCUCCUCCAAAGAACCUCCUUGCGAUAAAACAUUGAAAUCGGAUGAUUGCGAUGGGACAACAAUCAAAGAUGUUUCUAAGGAUUGCUAUUCAAAGUUUGACGAAGAUACGCAAGAAUGUCCAAAAUCUUCGAGAAAAUGUCAACUACCAGUUGAGGAUGAUUGCGAAGAGCACUCACCAUUCCCUUGUCCGGACGUAAAAGAUUAUUGUUCUACAGGUCAAAAAGAUAAAGAUACCGAGAAGAAUGCGUCGUACUUUAUCGUUUUUAAUCAACGAUUAAGUUAAUUCCUAACUGUCAUGUCAUUCUUGAGACAACAGCUUUUUUUUAUCUAUUCCACGAUAUACAUAUUGUGUAACACCUGUAUUAUGAUGUUAUCUUAAAGUAUAUACGUAUAUAAAAAUUAUUAAAAGUUGACUCACUUUAGCUAGCAGCUGAAGUUUCAUCUUUGCUGUUCAGCGAUGCGCGAAAAACUUUAUCAGCUUCGUUGUAUGUACGUUACUUAACAACAUAACUUGUGGCUUUGCAAGUACAGUGGCCUAUGAAGAGAAACUUUUGCAACUGGUGACUGUCAUCGGUGCGAUCGUGUUAAUAGGUAUAUCGUGUUAUGUUUACACCAAGGUGGAAGAAUCGGAUAAACAAUCGAGGCCUGUGUUCAUUGAUGUUCCUUAUAUGAGGCGAAUAAAUAAGCCUUUUCCAUGGGGCGACGGGGAACACACCUUGUUCCAUAAUCCCGUGAGAAAUCCAAUAUCUCCGCAUGGUUACGAGGUAGAAGAUCCAAACGCUGUGACGCCAAGCCAAACCGCAGGGUUAAGGAAACGAUAAUCGAAGAAGGAUGAAAAUAAGAUUGUCUCAUUCUCGCGUUGAGAAUAUUUAAAUAUUCCGUAAUGCAUUAGAAGGAUUAAGAAAAGCCUUGAAAAUCACGUUACAAUUUUUCAAAUGAGUCA